UAGGCAUUAUGUAAGAAAAUAUACUUAAGUAAAAAUUUCACAAUGAACUCACAAGUGUAGGUAGUGUACGACAUGGGGGGCAAAUCUUUGGCUAACACCACAAGGGUCUCUGGCCCAAUGAGUGGAAUCUGAUGGUAAUUCUAGCUACAAGU
ensembl:snoRNA SNORA62 Small nucleolar RNA SNORA62/SNORA6 family